GCUCGCUUGUCAGGCUGAGACACCUCAGAGCCAUCCCUUCCUGAUGAUGGAGGAGCAGCAGUGUCAAUGAAUGCGUAGACUUCUGGGAAGGCCAGCAGCCUGUGUCAGGUGGCAUGGCAGGCUCAGAUAUCCUCCAGGCAGUGUGGCUGCGGCCCUCCUCACCCCCUAUGCAGGCAGUGCAGGCCCUGGGGACCCAGCUCCUGGGAGGCAGUCACCACGGUUACUGGGAAGAGGAGGCCAUCUGGGUGGAGAUAAAAGUCUCGAUGACACUAUGGUUGGAUGGCAGCAGGUGGCUGUGCCCGUUGGAGUCGGAACUCUGAUACAACACCAGGCUGCUGGAGGACACUGCAGAAGCAAAUGAGGUUACUAGCUGUUGGCCAAGUCCCCUCCGACCCCUACCCCACCUGCCCAUCUCUUAGUGAUGCUCCAGGGAGAGACAGCAGAGCCUCACAUUCUGAAUCACCAGCCAGGCGGUGGUGGCACAUGCCUUUGAUCCCAGCACUUGGGAGGCAGAGGCAGGCGGAUUUCUGAGUUCGAGGCCAGCCUAGUCUACAGAGUGAGUUCCAGGACACCAGAACUAUACAGAGAAACCCUGCCUCAAAAAAACAAAAACAAAACCCCAAGCAAACAGGAAAAAAC
rnacentral:lncRNA from 1 species